CAAGCACGUGAAUGUCCUUGUAACUAGGCAUGCACAAACGGGAGGCCUGCAGCCCGAUCUUGAUCCAGCCUAGACCCAGCUUGGUCAAAUAUAAGCCUGGUCAAAACUUAGGCUGGACAGGUCUGGUCUGGAAGGCUGCAAAAAGGCCUCCAAUUUAUGGACAAAAUCUGACAUGGCCUGGCCCAGCCAAAAGCCCCGCCUAGCAUGGCCUGCAACCUUAGCUCGGCCUGAGCUCGAUCUAGCCCAAUGGGACAGGCCCGGCCUGCUUAAUCAAAG
rnacentral:lncRNA from 1 species